CUGAAGAAUGAGAGCAUCUUCCUGAAGGACCAGGUACAAACAUUGCAAGGGUCAGUGGAGAAGUUGGAGGGAUAACUCCAUGAGACCCAAAGGAUUUAUGAAGAGAUACUGAACAUAAGAGCGGGAGCAACAGUGGAAGGAUCACAGAACCCUUUUGUCCCAGUAUGAAGAUGUUAAGAUCACAGAACCUCACAGUCGAGUCAGAACCCCACAUACCAAACCCAGCGUAUAGAGGCUGAGUGAAUGUGGUAUGGACUCUGUGGAGCAGCUUCAUCGUGUCAGAGACGCUGUAGAAGGACAGAGUUCCUGCACUGUG